rnacentral:rRNA from 1 species
CCAGUCAUGAAUCUCACCGUGGUAGUCGCCCUCCUUGCGGUUAGGCUAACUACUUCUGGUGAAACCCACUCCCAUGGUGUGACGGGCGGUGUGUACAAGACCCGGGAACGUAUUCACCGCGACAUGCUGAUCCGCGAUUACUAGCGAUUCCGGCUUCAUGCAGUCGAGUUGCAGACUGCAAUCCGGACUACGACCGGCUUUCUGGGAUUAGCUCCCCCUCGCGGGUUGGCUGCCCUCUGUACCGGCCAUUGUAUUACGUGUGAAGCCCUACCCAUAAGGGCCAUGAGGACUUGACGUCAUCCCCACCUUCCUCCGGUUUGUCACCGGCAGUCCCAUUAGAGUGCCCAACUGAAUGUGGCAACUAAUGGCAAGGGUUGCGCUCGUUGCGGGACUUAACCCAACAUCUCACGACACGAGCUGACGACAGCCAUGCAGCACCUGUGUCCAGGUUCCCUUUCGGGCACCCUCA